CCCAGGCUAAUACCGCAUACGUCCUACGGGAGAAAGGGGGCUUCGGCUCCCGCUAUUGGAUGAGCCUAUGUCGGAUUAGCUAGUUGGUGAGGUAAUGGCUCACCAAGGCGACGAUCCGUAGCUGGUCUGAGAGGAUGAUCAGCCACAUCGGGACUGAGACACGGCCCGAACUCCUACGGGAGGCAGCAGUGGGGAAUAUUGGACAAUGGGGGCAACCCUGAUCCAGCCAUGCCGCGUGUGUGAAGAAGGCCCUCGGGUUGUAAAGCACUUUCAGCGAGGAAGAACGCCUGUCGGUUAAUACCCGGUAGGAAAGACAUCACUCGCAGAAGAAGCACCGGCUAACUCCGUGCCAGCAGCCGCGGUAAUACGGAGGGUGCAAGCGUUAAUCGGAAUUACUGGGCGUAAAGCGCGCGUAGGUGGCUUGAUAAGCCGGUUGUGAAAGCCCCGGGCUCAACCUGGGAACGGCAUCCGGAACUGUCAGGCUAGAGUGCAGGAGAGGAAGGUAGAAUUCCCGGUGUAGCGGUGAAAUGCGUAGAGAUCGGGAGGAAUACCAGUGGCGAAGGCGGCCUUCUSGACUGACACUGACACUGAGGUGCGAAAGCGUGGGUAGCAAACAGGAUUAGAUACCCUGGUAGUCCACKCCGUAAACGAUGUCGACCAGCCGUUGGGUGCCUAGAGCACUCUGUGGCGAAGUUAACGCGAUAAGUCGACCGCCUGGGGAGUACGKCCGCAAGGUUAAAACUCWCAUGAAUUGACGGGGGCCCGCACAAGCGSUGGAGCAUGUGGUKUAAUUCGAUGCAACGCGAAGAACCUUACCUMCCCUUGACAUCUACAGAAGCCGGAAGAGAUUCUGGUGUGCCUUCGGGAACUGUAAGACAGGUGCUGCAUGGCUGUCGUCAGCUCGUGUUGUGAAAUGUUGGGUUAAGUCCCGUAACGAGCGCAACCCUUGUCUUUAUUUGCCAGCACGUAAUGGUGGGAACUCUAAGGAGACUGCCGGUGACAAACCGGAGGAAGGUGGGGACGACGUCAAGUCAUCAUGGCCCUUACGGGUAGGGCUACACACGUGCUACAAUGGCCGGUACAAAGGGCUGCGAGCUCGCGAGAGUCAGCGAAUCCCUUAAAGCCGGUCUCAGUCCGGAUCGGAGUCUGCAACUCGACUCCGUGAAGUCGGAAUCGCUAGUAAUCGUGAAUCAGAAAGGCUCGGUGAAU
rnacentral:rRNA from 1 species